GACGAACGCUGGCGGCGUGCCUAAUACAUGCAAGUAGAACGCACAGUUUAUACCGUAGCUUGCUACACCAUAGACUGUGAGUUGCGAACGGGUGAGUAACGCGUAGGUAACCUGCCUGGUAGCGGGGGAUAACUAUUGGAAACGAUAGCUAAUACCGCAUAAUAUUGAUUAUUGCAUGAUAAUUGAUUGAAAGAUGCUAUUGCAUCACUACCAGAUGGACCUGCGUUGUAUUAGCUAGUAGGUGAGGUAACGGCUCACCUAGGCGACGAUACAUAGCCGAACUGAGAGGGUGAUCGGCCAAACUGGGACUGAGACACGGCCCAGACUCCUACGGGAGGCAGCAGUAGGGAAUCUUCGGCAAUGGACGAAAGUCUGACCGAGCAACGCCGCGUGAGUGAAGAAGGGUUUCGGAUCGUAAAGCUCUGUUGUAAGAGAAGAACGGGUGUGAGAGUGGAAAGUUCACACUGUGACGGUAUCUUACCAGAAAGGGACGGCUAACUACGUG
rnacentral:rRNA from 1 species